rnacentral:rRNA from 1 species
AACGAACGCUGGCGGCAUGCCUAACACAUGCAAGUCGAACGAGACCUUCGGGUCUGGUGGCGCACGGGUGCGUAACGCGUGGGAACCUGCCCUUAGGUUCGGAAUAACUCCCCGAAAGGGGUGCUAAUACCGGGUAAUGUCUUCGGACCAAAGAUUUAUCGCCUUUGGAUGGGCCCGCGUUGUAUUAGCUAGUUGGUAGGGUAAAAGCCUACCAAGGCGACGAUCCAUAGCUGGUCUGAGAGGCUGAUCAGCCACACUGGGACUGAGACACGGCCCAGACUCCUACGGGAGGCAGCAGUGGGGAAUAUUGGACAAUGGGCGAAAGCCUGAUCCAGCAAUGCCGCGUGAGUGAUGAAGGCCUUAGGGUUGUAAAGCUCUUUUACCCGGGAUGAUAAUGACAGUACCGGGAGAAUAAGCACCGGCUAACUCCGUG